UUGAAUUGAAGUGAAAUUUAUAAUAUGGAUAGUAGACUUGAUUUCUAACAUAUAUAUGAAUUUUGAGAGGUAUUUAACGAUGGAAUUAAGACAUUUUAGCUUAGAAAGAUUAAUAUAAAGAUUGGAGAUGGAGGCUGAUCAACACCUGAGUGAAUUUUAGGAUUUAUCUUCUAUUUAGUAAGUUUUAUCUUUUUAAAAUCAUUUGUGCUAGUU
rnacentral:lncRNA from 1 species